AAAAACUUAAUUUUGAUUUUUAAAUUAAUUAAUAAUUUUACUUAUAUAUAAUUUUUUUUUAAAUAAUAUAAAUUUAAUUUAAUAUAUAAAAUUAAUUUUUUUAAAAAAUUAAUAAUUAAAAAAAUUAUUUAUUAUAAAUUAAUAAAGUGCCAGCAAUUGCGGUUAAACUUUUUAUAAAAAUUAAUAUUUUCAAUUUUAAUAAAAUUUUAAAUAAAAUAAUAUAAUUAUAAAAUAAAAUUAAUGAUAAAAUAUAAUUUUAUUUAAAUAAUUAUAUAAUUAAAUUAAUUUAUUUAAUAAAUUUUUUAAAAAACUAGGAUUAGAUACCCUAUUAUUAAAAUAAAAAUUUUUAAAAUUAAAUAAUUAAAUAUUCAAAAUACUAAAUUUAAAAAAUUUGGCGGUAUUUUAUUUUAUUAGAGAAACUUAUUUUAUAAUAGAUAAUACACUAUAGUAACAACUUGAAUUUUUAAUAUUUUAAAUAUAAAUAUUAAUUUAUUUAUAUAUUGUUGUUUAAAAAUUAUAUUUUAAAAUUUAAUUAAAAAAUUUUUUAAAAUAAAAAUUCAAAUCAAAAUAUAAUUCAUAUUUAAGAAAAAAGGAGUUUUAAUUAUUUAAAUUAUAAUUUUAAUAAAUUAAAUUUUUUAAAAAAAUAAAAUUUAAAAGUAAAAAAAAUUAAUUAAUUUUUUUGAAAAUUAAAUUAAAAUAUGUACAUAUCGCCCGUCAUUCUCAAUUUUUGAGACAAGUCGUAACAAAGUAAAUUUACUGGAAAGUGAAUUUAGAU
rnacentral:ncRNA from 1 species